GUCACCCAGCCUCAGAAUGCUCCCAGUCACUGACACACACACCCAUUCAUAAAUGCAGGGUGCAGCUGGAUUCCAGAGCGAUCAUGAAGUGAGUGGGAGGAGCCAGCCAUGCGUAACUCGCACGCAGGUGACUCGGUUACCAAGACGCGCCUUAGUAGUUACCUGCCCGUGACGUCACGCAAGGGGCGGAGCCCUGCUGCCUGCGUGGAAGGUUUAGCCGCCUCAGGUUGCGAGAGCCGACAAACCCGCGGCUCGCUCUUAUUGCGCGUGCGUCGUGCGACUGGCAGACGCGCGCCUACGCCCCCUCCCCUCCCCAACGCGCACGCGCCUUUCCGCCGGCGGUUGGCAGGUCUGCGUGCGCAGCGCUGUGACGCAAGCGGAAGCGGUUCAGUGCGCGUGCGGAUUGCCGUCGCCAUAGGUCGUGACGUAGCAAAGAGUUGCGAGAGAGGGUGCGCAGUGUGUCAUCGGCAGGUCUCCGGUGAGACAGAGAGAGAGAUAGUGCAGCGAGUCCCCGGGGCCGGUGGAACUGAUCCGGAGCGAACAUGCUCAACAUGUGGAAAGUGCGGGAGCUGGUGGAUAAAGCGUGAGUGUCCUCCAUGGGAGGGGGGGGUGGAGAGCGCUGUCACAGAGAGGGAGCUCAGUGCUGGGCCUGUCAGCUCACUGUAACCAGGCACUGCAACUCUCCUCAAUCUCAGCCACCAAUGGGAGUUGGAGUCCGCCAGCAGGUGUAGCCAGGCCGUGUUCUGAUAUCAGCUCUCAUACCUGGUAUAUGAUAUAUUAUUCAAUAUGAAAACUAAGUUUACAUCAUAAAGGGCCCACAUGAGGUGGCUGCCAGCAAUGUAAUGGAAAAGCAAAUAGGAAAUUGGCCCCGUGUUCAAACUCCCACUGCCUAUAGAUAGGAGAGACCAAUGGCUACAGUAAUACUUGGUUACUAGAUACUCGUACACUAGUUAUGUUGGUUUUAGUCUAAAUGUCUUUGUUUAGUUAUAUGCUGUGGCAGUGUUUUCAUUGAUUUCUGUGGCCUUUCUCAAAGCUCAAACAUUGGUACAUUGCUUGCUUAGGGAAGAGUUAUUCCAAUCUGGAUUUCCCCUCUUUACUUAUCCUUUCAAUCAAAUGAAGAUCUUUAUCCAUGUUCUUCAGUCAAGUUUUAAAUGUUCUGCCCGCUGUUAACAUUGUUCUGUUUGUCAUUUGAAUCGUCAGUAUCCUGGCAUAUUUUUUUUUUUAAACUUUUUUUUUUUUUUUUUUAAUUCUAAGUACAAAUCAGAAAAUGACUUGUGAAGCCAUGUGACCAGAACGUUUGAGCUAAUCAUGCCUUAAAACCAGUUUAUAUAACUUAAAUACUAGGAAAUCCUAUGUAUAAUAUAGUAAAAGGACCGCUUUUUUCCCCACAUCAUCUGUUUUCUAUUUGUAUAGAUCAAUUUACAUCCAUAACACUCUAAAGAAAGAAUUUUGAAUUGACAUGGGACACACAUGAGGUCCAGCAGUGUAACAGAAAAGCAAAUAGGAAAUUAUGUAUUUGUAUUUUUUUUUAUAGCAGAAUUGUUACAUAGACUUUUAGUGUACUAAGUGAGCAAAAAACUAUAAUGAAAUAAAGUAUUUCAUAAGCCAAAAUCGCAAUCAACAUGUUACUCCACAGUUAUUGUUUAGCUACAUCUCUCAUGGUGUUCAGCCAUUGUAUACCAAUAUUAAUAGGUGUUCAAUAGCUGAAUAAACACCCACUGACAAACUUUGCACUACUGUUUCCUGUUAAUGUGGAUAACAGAGGGACACUAAGCAACAAAACUGGUUAGAGCAGUUGUAAUAUGGCCUUAGAACCAGGAAACCAAGGUUUGAAUCCCAGUCAGACCACCUCCUCCGCAAGUGUCCUUGGGCAAGUCAUCUAACAAUGUAUUCAUGAGCAGGGCCUUAUUUUCCUGUAAAUAUCCCCUUUCUAUAAUUGUAUAGCGGUGAGGAAUAUUUUGGUGCUUUAUACAUGCUAAUAAUAAAACUACUUCAUAUAGUAGGAUUGGUGUGUAAACCCUUUAGUCUGACAAAUGUAGACAUUGUUUUUGAAAAAUAAUCUAAACCUAUAUUUUUACACCUAGGUUGUCCCUUUUAUGAUUGAGGUGUGUGUGUAUAUAUAAGCAAACAAAAGCAGAAGGGUCUGUCAGUAAGGUUUACACUUUGGAUAUGAGGUUAGUAAAUUGAUUAAGAAGUUAUAAGCCCCUGUAGAAAAUUAAGUACUAUAGCUGUUGCUUCUCCUCUUGUUGAAAUCAUCUGAUUGGAUGAUAUCUUGAGGACCUCCUGUGCAUAUGUAUCAAUCACAAAGGUUUACCAAUAGCUUCUCCUCAGAGAUGCAUGACAAUGCAUCUCUAUGGAAAGUCUUAACUGGUGCCAUAUUCUCUGCAUCCGGUCAAAGAAUCUGGAUUACUCUGUAGAGCAAAGAAAGAUAAUGUAGAACUGUACUCGCUGGGUGAGAUUGCCAGCUGCACACUUUCCUCUAGUGUGCGUGCUCCUGCAUAUCCAUACUUUAUUAAACAGAGACAUCACGCUUUUGCACGAGGAGACGUGAUGCAGAGAAUGCAGCCAUGGAUGCCUGGCAGAACCCAGGUAAAUUUUCAAGCCAUGCUAAAACUGUUUGAUGUCUUACCGUGGGACAGCGCCAUUGUACUCCCAACAAUAAAAGCGCUACAGCAGGUUCUAUCUAGCAUAUAAAAUGUUUAGAUUAGUCCUUUUAAUGAACCUGGUGUGUGUCAGAUUGAUAUUUUAAUUGUAGAAUAUAGAUGACAAAGUACCUUUUAUCUUUUGAUCUGUAUCUAUCCAGCACAAACUCAUACACAUAGGUAUGAAGUGUUUAUUAUUUAUAUGGUCACAUGUUUUUGGGAAAAAUGUACAGUGACAUCUGACCUACCAGCAUGUUUUUACUCCUGGAAUUACCUGCAAGUCAUAAAUGCUUUCUUCCAGCAUGGGCUAGACCCAUUUAAUUCUACUUGUAAUUGAAGGAAUAGUCCAAGCACCAUAACUGCUUUUGUAAGGAUUUUUACGCUUACUGUUUAAAGUAUUGAACUUUGUUAUAAAACUCCUAAGUAAGUUUUGGCACAGCCAGUUGUCUUAAAAAUAACAAUCAAAAACACCAGAACCAGAAUACACUAUGCAAUGGAGGAGAAGAAACGAGCAUAAUGGAAAAAUAAACAUUUGAGAAACUGGUAUGGAUCUAGCAAUUCUCAAGGAAAACCUGUUUCCGUCUGUGAGACAUCUCAGAGUUGGGGGAUUUUUACCCUCUUGCUGGAUAAUGAAACCCCAAACAGAAUGGUCAGAAAUAGCUGGAGACCAGAAUCAAAACUGUAUCAUAAAAUGUAUCUAUCAUGCUUAAAUAGCUGUUCUUGUUUUAAAGGGACAUUAUAAGCACAAAAACAACUGAAGAGUACGACGUUUGUAUAAAUCAUGCCCCUGCAGCUCAAUUUUCUGCAAUUUAGGAGUUGGAUUCCUUUGUUUUUGCAGUCCAAGUCACUUAUCUUACAUGCGACUGGGAAAGGAUGGCUAGGGCUUCAUAAAUAUAAACAAAAUUGAGUUACACCCGACUGGCAGGAUUUCGCAGUGAGGCUGCAGAGGCAUGAGUAUACCGGUAUAGGCAACCUUCGGCACGCCAGAUGUGGACUGCAUCUCCCAUAAUGCUCUUACAGUCACAGUCCACAACACCUGAGGGGCAAAGGUUGUUACCCCUGGUCUAUACUCUAAAACUGUUUCAUUAAUCAGCUAAAGUUGUUGUGCUUUGGAUCUCAGAAGUGACCUGAAAUCAUUUCCUCUAAGUGCUGCAAUGCGUAAAUUGAGGAUUGUCCCUCAUAACCUGCAAUCACAGCAUGGUUUGCAUUAGCAGGCCCCUGUUAGGCCAGAGCCUGUUUUGCGCUGGUAGCCUUAAGUGCCAUAGGUUGCUGACCCCUGCUCUAUUGUCUGCUGAUUGCUUAGCAACUGUAUUACAUGAAAUCUCUCUGACAUUCUUAUCCCUCCAUGUGGUGGUAUUUUGUGUAUUGAUCAUUUGUGUUCUCUACGAGAGGCCUGGGAGUCAGAGGGUUUUCCGCAGUAUCUUGGCUGUUGUCCCCCCUGGAAUCUACUGAAGCCACUCUCCCAACAUGGGGGUUAGUCCCAAAUGCUUCUAUGACCAGUCCUUGCUUGUUUCCUGGAAGUCCCAGAGGAUCCUGGUCACCUCAUUCUCAUUUAUCCUGUGUAGCCCUCUUACAGAUACAGUCCUGACUAAUUCAACUUUUUUCAAUGGAAUAUCAUGGCUGAUUCCUUCAUUUUUAAAACUUUGACACAGAAUUACUGUUUUAUGUAAAAAUGAAGCAAUUGUGACACACCAUUAUUAGUGUUUGGUGGAAAAUACAAAGAAAUUAAUUAAUUACCACAAUCUUUUUAUGCAAAGAAAAGGUAAACUGAUUAUAUCAGUAACAAGAAAUCAACCAAAAGCUGCUGCUGUUAAAAUGCAGAUGUAUAAUGACAGAUGAAAUUAAUAUCUCGUAAUUCAUUUGUAUUAGACUAACAUAUUGGAAUGACAAGGUUUCAGGAGAUAUUCCCUUUCUUAAGUCUAAAGCAUUUCUGAGCAAAAUGAAUCGUACAAUUCAAUGUUAGGCAGGUGCCUACUCUGCUUACGUAUCGGGAGGACCCAGAAGCAGAGGGAGGGAUCGGUGAAGCCCGCGAGUAGGCUGUGUGGAGUGUUGCCACUGCAACGCUCCACACAGCAUUCUGCUUGCGGGAGGACAGGAGAGCUGCAGCCAAAACCUGUCACGCACCUCACACCUCCUCCCCCCCCCCGUCGUGCACCUCGUACCACUCCCGUCGCGCACCUCCCCUGUCACGCACCUCACACACACACACACACACAUACACGCACUCUGCACCUGUGAAAACAUACACUGCACCCCUCAAUGCAGUGUGUGCAUGUAUUCAGCAGUUGGUGUGUGAAUGUGUUUGUCUGUGUAUUUUAUGUAUGUAUUGAAUUUGUUGUCGAUACUAAUAAAUAUAAGCCUAAUAUUAUCUGUAAUUUAUAUUUUUAAUCCUGUGAGUUUUGUGUCGGCAGUGUUCCAGUGCACUGCUUUGCCCGGGGGUCCAUAAUGUUGUUAAGAUGACACUGGUGGGUGGGAUGGAGGGCUGCGAGCGAGCACUGACUUAUGUGCUGUUCCAGCACUGCUCCCUCUGCUGAUGCCGUCGGGAGAUGACGUCAAUAAGGCGCCACCGCCUGAUUGGCGUAAUUUCCUGUUUCCUGGCGGCAUCAGCGGAGGGAGCAGUGCUGGAACAUCAGAUAAGUCAGUGCUCCCUCGCGCCCACAUCCCCUUGCAGCAGCGGGAAGGAAUCGGAUCUACCAGGUAGGGUGCCUGGGUGUACUUCAAACCCCCACACGCACAAAAACAAUUUAAACAUUAUUUAUGUGCUGGGAGGGAGAGGGGAUAUGCUGGGGUAGUGAAGAGGAGAAUUAGUUCGGACAACUUGUAUGAGUUGUUUUUUCUAAACUUAAACUUCAGUAUUCAGGUUUAAUUGCUGUGUUGGCACUUUGAGGGAAAAAGGUUGGCAUGUAUUGGGGUUUGGGCACCAACACUGAUUUAGGGCCUUUAUGUAUUGACCUACUUGGACAUUAGGUUACAAUGUUACAAAAGUAAAUAGGAACUGACAUGUUUCUGUUUAAACCAGAAUCAUCACUUCUCUGGAAAUUAAACCAUAAAAAAGAGAAAAAAAAACUUGUGCUAAACCCCCCUUUUUUUUUGUGUGUGGUAUUAUUUGGUACUCCAUUUACAUUUGUAUUUAACAAAUAACAUUGUAAUCCAGUUCAGUUACACAUUGCAAAUGAGGAGGAUAAAUACAUUGGUGGACUAAAGUACUAAUAGUGAGACCAUACCAUAAACUGCACAUACAUGCUUUUCUUAAGACAGCACCACAAGCCUCAUCCCGUACCCAUACCCCGAAACAAACUCUCUAAAUAAAAAUUAUAUUACAAUACAUAAAAGAUACGAAAAGCGAUGUACUAACACUAGAAGGGUUACCCCUCCCGACCCACUCUUCCACCUGUACCCCCACAACCGAACUCCCCCAAAUCUGGUUAUAUGUACUCAUUGAAUCCACCGCCGCAGUAACUGUAUAACAGGCAUUGUAAAUGGAAAUGUAUAAUAAGCAUUGCAAAUAUAACUGUACCCUCACCCUUUCUUUCUGUACCCUCCCCCACAAAAAGUCAUAUUGCAGUAACUACAUAACAAGCAUUGUAAAUGGAAAUAUACAAUAAGCAUUGUAAAUAUAACUGUAGCAUCACCCUCUUUCUUUCUGUACCCCCCCCCCCACAAAAAAGUCAAACGUUAUAUAUAUUUUCUAUAUAUAUAUAUAUAUAUAUAUAUAUAUAUAUAUAUAAAUAUAAAUAAAAAUCUGGUAAAGAUAAUUCACUGGUCCUCUGGACAAUUGCUGUUUACAUUUUAUUGAUGUUUGAUGCACAAAUUUAAUUAUUCUUUUAUUCCAUUUGUGUGCAUGCUCUUUCAUGGGCAUGGGAAGGCAAUAACACUGCUGGCACCAUAACCACUACAACAAACUGUAGUGGUUAUGGUGCUCGUAGUGUUCCUUUAUUUUCUAUUCAUCAAAAGUUAUAGAAUGCAUCAGAGGUUUUGAGCUACUUGCUGUACUACUAUGACAAUGUUGGCAGUAAUGUGUGUUUAAUCUUUUAUUAAAGGACCAUUAUAGUGCCAGGAAAACAUACUUGUUGACACAGCCACUAGAGGCUGGAUUAACCCAUUUGUUUCUCUGAAACUGCUAUGCUUACAGCAGAAAGGGUUAAUCCUAGAUGGACCUGGCACCCAGACCACUUCAUUAAGCUUAUGUGGUCUGGGUGCCUUUAGUGGUCCUUUAAAGUAAGUUUGUUGGGGAUAAUCAGUGCCUGGCAAAGUUACAUUAAAACAUCAUGCUAUAAUGAAACUUGUGAGGUUUAGCCUUCUUUAUAAACUGUCUGUCUUGGUUAUGAAGCCAGCUAAUUCCAUUUAGAGUGCUGUUGUUUAACAGUGAGAACUUUAGAAAUCUUGGUGCAUUAUUUGUUCAUGCAUUCAGGGCCGUCUUUAAUAACGAAUGGACCCUGGGCAAGUGUUUGCUUGGGCCCCCUGUGCCCUGCCGCUCUCGCCCCUCACUCCCUGGUAUGCAAUCACGGCAUCCAUCCCAACGCAGUGGCGGUACUAAAGUAGAAUGAAUUUUAUUGGGACCCCCAAUUGCAAGGUUGGACUAAAGGUAGAACCCCAUCUGUCGUGCAACUCCAACAAUGCUUUGACAGCUGGGACUCUACCAAUUUCCCAUGCUUGCAGGGUUGUAUUUAGCACUGAGCCAUGUUAGUAUGUUUGAAUGUAAGCAUGUGUUUGUAUGGAGUAUGUUUGUGUGAAUGUGUUUGUAUGUGGUACUGGAGUUUGAAUGCAACUGUGCAUUUAUGUGUAGUGUUUGUUUUUGAAUGUAGGAGUGUGCUUGUAUGUAGUGUUGACGUUUCAAUGCAGGAGUGUGUUUUAUAUGUAGUGUUGAAGUUUGAAUGGAGGGGUGUAUUUGUAUUUAAAGUUGCGGCUCAGAUGCACAGGUACACACUCUGACGCACAAGCAGAUACACAGAUACAUACACUGACUACAUACAGAUAAACAGGCACAUACACUGACAGACACACUGACACAGGUACAUAUAUUGACACACACAGACACAUACACUGGUAGACGUACUGACAGACAUACUGACACAGGCACAUAUACAGACAUACUGACACACACACACAGACACAUACACUGAUCAACAUACUGACACACAUACACUGACAGAAAUACUGACACCCACACACUGACAGAUAUACUGACACCACAUACACUGAGAAAUACUGACACACACAGGCACAUACACUGACACACACAGACUGAUAUACUGCACACACACACACACAGACAUACUGGCACACAGACAGAUAUACUGACACAUGCAUACACAUGCACGACAGACAUACUGACGCACUGACAGACAUACUGACACAUACACAUACUGACACACACAGAUACACACACACAUAUACUGACACACAGACAGACAUACUGACACACAGACAGACAUACUGACACACACACAUACACUAACACACACAUACACUAACACACACAUACACUAACACACACAUACAUACACAUUUUUUUUAAAUGUCAAUCCCCAGCCUCCCUUACCUUUUCGCUGGAGUUCUAAGUCCAGUGGUGCUGCUGGGAUCCUGGGCGGGUGGCGGUCGGGCAGGAAGAGCGGUACGGAGGAGCACUCACUGCUUCCUCUUCCGCUCCCUCGCGCGCCGCGUAGGGAUGUCGGCGAGGGAGCGGAAGAGGAAGCAGUGAGUGCUCCCUCGCGCGCCCGCCUUCCUGCCUGACCGGCCACCCGCCCGCCGGGGUCAGCGGGGCCCACGGGGCAGGUGCCUCGGGCCCCCCAAGAGAAACUGGGCCCGGGGCAGCUGCCCCGUUUGCCCCGCGUUAAAGACGGCCCUGCAUACAUUGCAGGAAGUAAAUAAGCUUUAGUGUUCCUUUCAAUGUUAGUGUUCUUUUAGUGCUUGUUUGUUGGGGUAUGUUUUGUAUCGCAUAAAGCUAGUUUCCUAAUGCAUGUGUGUUUUAAGAUCUGAUUAUUUGACUCUAGCGAAAAUAUUGUUGGUUUUGUUUCCACCAAAUUUUGCUAGAUAUUUGUAGAAUCAAUGACUUUGACAGAUCUAUUUAUUAAGGGAACUGCUAUGAAUGCAAAUGUCCUCCUGAUGUAAACAUUCUCACUCAGGAUCAUAUCUUUGUGGUUACCUUCAAGAUGUUGUUUUUUGUUUUUUUUUUUGUUUUUUUUUCAAUUCAUGCAGUGUCUACUCCCUGUUAUUUUCAACAAAGAUUUAAAAGAUUAGGCCUGCCUAGUAUUUUGGAACUUAAACUAAUUUAUUUAUAACAAAGGAAGACGUAAAGACUGAGAAAAGGCAUGCAUCCACAGUAAGUUUUUAUGUUAUGAUUUUUAUUUUUUAUUUUUUUUUAAAGGUCCUCAAUUAUUGGUCUUCAAUAAGAAGUGAUUUGGUUUACCUCUCCAAUAAUGGAAAUUAACUUUAUCUUCUACACACUUUUUAGUUUUUAUAUUUUCAUAUUUGGGUUAUUCUUUGAACUUUACAGUGUAGCUAUUUGCAGUGUAAAUGAUUAACCUAUGUUGCCCUCUGUGAUAGAGCAGGUUGUAAAUGCCAGAAAUAUUAUGAUUUAUAUUUCAGUAAUUGCCUGUUCUGAUGUCAACUAUGCUCACUGCUAUAAUUUUUUUAUUUUUUUUUACCAGCCCUUGUUCAAUACAUUGGUCCGCAUUAUAAAGUAUUUCUGUAACUAGGUAACUUUACUAGUCUGUGGGAAAAACAGUUCUAGUUCUAGCAUAUUUACUAUUUCUAAGCGCAUUUGUCCCAUUCUUGGUUACCCCUUGACUAGCUAUGUCCGGUUCUAUAAAGGGGUUGAUGUCACAGACACAUGAAUAAACUAACAAAUGUUAGCUGUAUUUUGUCCAUUACAUAUAAAGAUAUAAAGUAUCCCAAGAGAGAACCUUGCUUCUAACUUUGCUAACUUUGCUAAAAUAAAAGUGAUGUUGGGACCAGUGUUUUUAUUUUUUAUUUCGGGAACACAAAGGGAUUAAAUAAAAUAGUCUCCAAUUUGAAAUUGUAAGAAUUAUGGCAGCAGUGAUUUUUAGUCAUAAAAAGAAAACCAUGUGCUUUAAAGGAACAUUAUAGGGUCAGGAACACAGACAUGUAUUCCUGACUCUAUAGUGUGAAAACCCCUAUCUGGCCCCCCUUACCUCUCUAAAGAUAGUAAAAUCUUACUAGUAUUCAAGUAUGAAGCUGCUGCCUCUGCCUGUGAACUUCCUCUGACAUCAGAAGUGGUGGCCUGAUCCAAUCACAAUGCUUCCCCGUAGGAUUGGCUGAGACUGACAAGGAGGCAAAUCAGGGGCAGAGCCAGCACAAUUCAAACACAGGCCUGGCCAAUCAGCAUCUCCUCAUAGAGGUGAAUUGAAUCAAUGAAUCUCUAUGAGGAAAGUUCAGUGUCUGCAUGCAGAGGGAGGAGAUACUGAAUGUUUGGAUGCAUUUUAGGCAUCCAUGACCCAGGAAGGAUCUCUAACAGCCAUCUGAGGAGUGGCCAGUGAAGUUAUCACUAGGCUGUAAUGUAAACACUGCAUUUUCUCUAAAAAGACCGUGUUUACAGCAAAAAGCCUGAAGGUAAUGUUUCCACUCACCAACAAAUUCAAUAAGCUGUAGUUGUUCUGGUGACUAUAGUGUCCCUUUAAUAUAGAGAAGGAUCUCUCAAACAAGCUUACAUAAGGGAUGCAUGAUGUAACUGCAUAAAAGGUAAAGCUGCAGUGGAUUACUGGGGCAUCCAAUCGUGUCUUACUAGAGAUAAAACUGUUAUAUUUAUUAAUUAUAUUAGCAGAGGACAUUAAAUGUAUUCAUCAAUUGGAGAAUAUAUCUAAUUUGGGGGUAUAUUUGUUGAAAGCAUUGUAAAUUAUGACUAUGAUUUUAAUAUGAACACAUUACAUUUAUGAUUUAUUCAGUAUUAACUGCUUGUACUAGCAGAAUUGUGUGUGAAAUAAAUUUAAAAUAUAUAUAUAUAUAUAUAUAUAUAUAUAUAUAUAUAUAUUCAGCACACAUUUUAUGUAUUAUUUAAUCUAAUCUCACAAAUUUGUUGUACAAGAUGGUGAAUUGAAUUGCCACAAUGCCAUUUUUUACAUGAUUGAUUCAAUUUAAAGCUAGGGAAGUAGUCAUCACAUAGGUAAGGCUUUAGAAAUGUAGCUGGUAGGGUAUAUAUGAUAUAACAUUUCUCGUUAACCUCAUUUGUGUUAUAGUUCAUGUGCAAUCAGUUUAAACACAUUUACAAAACAAAACACAAAAACCUCAGAUAGGAAGACUACUGUUUAGAUGCUUGUCCUGGAAUAAAUGUACGGCAUCCUGUCUUGGUCCAAUUUGGUGUUUUUUGUUUUUUUAAUUCUUAUGUCUGUAGUUGUUGCCUUUAGCUGUUUGAAUUAGUAUCUACUGUUGACAAAAACACAUGCUGCAGGGUGCAAAUUCUUGUUCACAAUUGUGUUGAUUCUGUAACAACUUGAGCAUUAUUUUUAUAAUGUUUUAAUAGGUCAACAACGUAUAAAAGAGCUGGGACUCUAAAAUGAUUUAUAGCAAUCUGGGUUAUGUGUCACUGCAGAUAAACCAUUUUUAAAUUAGUUCUUAGGUGUCCCACAGUUUAACCUCUUACCUAUCCAGUUUCCCUGUAUUUCAGUAAUUUUAUGAUUAGGAUAUUGUACAUCCACACAAGAACAUUCAUACUGAAACUGUUUUAAAGGUGCAUCUCAGAUAUUUGAAGCUUGGCAAGCAUGUUUUAAAUACUCCUUUAGUGCAAGUUCAGGCCUGCUUGUUGUUUGCAUUUUAUGUCUAACUAAAAGAACAUAGACCAAAAAUAUGGAUGACAGAUUUAUGCAAAUUCAAUGUAAACAUGACUUACAGCAAAGGGAUGUGGUAUGAUUUUCUAGAUCUCCUUGUCUUGCUGUAGGAACAUUAGGAGGAGCUGCACUUGUUCUUGAAAUGUAAAAUCUUCAGAGUUAAGGGAACACUCUUCAACUAAAUGAGAAAUUUAGCACACGGGAAAGCAAUAUUUUGGAUGUGCUGUGCCAAAGCAAAACUUUGAGUAUAUGUGUAGUGUACCGUAGUGUAAAUCAUUGUUUGGUAUUGUGUGUUAGUAGGUGUUUGCUAUGAUCUGGAAAUAGAUUUAAAGAACAGGAAAAAUCUGCAUAUCCAAGGAUUGGGGCCCUGCCAAGAACCUUCAACAUUGAAAGGGCCGAAUUCUGAAUUUGACUAAAAUCUGAAAGGGAAAAAAAAAAUAUAGGCCAAAAUUGGUUUUCUGGAGAAAUUCACCAUCUCUGCUAUUAGGGACGCACCCAUAUUUCGGCUGCAGAAAAUGGGCCUAUCCCGUUUCCGCCGAAAACAGGUAAAAACCCCCCAGAAAUUAAAAUGUAAAAAACAUUUAUGGGGGAGAGAGAGAACACUAUGGGACAGGGGAGGGGGGAGAGAACGCUAAGGGACAGGGAGGGGGGGAGAGAACGCCAUGGGACAGGGAGGGAGGGGGGACAGGAGAGAACGCCAUGGGACAGGGGAGGGGGGAGAACGCUAUGGACAGGGGAGGGGGAGAGAACGCUUAUGGGAAAGGGGGGAGAGAACGCUUUGGCGGGACAGGGAGGGGGGGGAGAGAACGCCAUGGGACAGGGGGGGGGGAGGGGGAGAGGGAGGAGACGACUAUGGGUACCCUAGUUUUCAUAUUCUGCAGCCAAACGUCAUAAUAAGCACUCUUAAUUUUGGAAGCCUGCACCUAUGCCAUAAUGAUAUAUUUCACAGAAAACAAAAUCCAUCCAAAUUGUAAGGCUUGUUACUGUCAUUCACUGGAGCCAGCAUAAAGCUGAUAUGAUUGCUGGUGAUUAGGGUCUUGUCACAGAGCCAUGGGCCUCGUAUGUUUCCUGUUCUCUCUGGUGUUUCCAGAGCUGGUUUGUGCUACAUGUUGUAGUCUGAUAGAUUUGUACUAAAGACUAAUUGGAAAUUGUUCCGAAUUUGACUUCAAGGAUGUAUGUGUCAACCAACUAACAUCAGAAAAUAGAUUUUUAAAAAAUAAUUUAUUUAUUUAUUUUUUUUAAUUUGUCUCAUUUUAAUGUUUAGUUUCAGUUUGAAAUUGUUUAGUUGCGGCACCAUGUUUUAAAGCUGAAAUCCUCUGCUAAAACACAGUUCCACCUAAAAUGUCAUUGGUUGACAAAUGACAUGCCAACAUUGAAUAUAUUUUUUUUUAAUGAUGAAUGACAGCUGUAGGGUUGGUCAGUCAGGCUGCAUGUCCAAUUAGAGAUUACAAAAAUGCUACUUUUAUAGUUUGUUCUCUUUUGCAUUUUUUUCAGUUUUUGUAUAUUUUAUUUUAGAAAUCAUCCUCCAUUGUAGAUUAUGCUAGCUUUAGUGUACCUAUAAUAAUUUUAUUAAUGACAGGAGGCUUCAUAUUUGCUUAAGUCUCUCUUUACUUGAACUCCACAGCAGCAAAACACCAGAGAGUAAACAACCAAUCAGAAAACAGUAAGGAGACCAUAUAAGUCCCUUCCCAACAUUCCAUUUCCUCUGAUUCCUCGCAACAGUCUACAAACCAAAGGAUCUUGACCAGUGGGCGUCCCCUGAAGAGGAACAUGAGCCGCUGAAAUGGCCGAUCUGGCAACGUUAACCGAGCGAUAUGACCUCCCUUGGUCGAAGAGGUAGGAAAGGAAAUUCAGUACACUGGAUACAGGUGCUGUAAAGGGAUCGAUACUCCGUUCCAUGCACCGACACCAUAUGUUCCAUGCGGACAGUUAACAUCUCGUUCCCGGGGCCCAUGAGUCCCAGAGGAGGCUUCUAGCCGUUCCCGAUAACUCAUCGACAUUCCAGGUACCCCGGAAAGAGUCCAAGCCACCAAGUGAAGAUGGCCCUCCAGCACGAGGGGGUGAUGGUUGCACCGAGAAUCCGACAGGAGAAAUUGUGGAGACGGGAGGAGCGGGUCUCGAUACGACAGCUCCAGCAUUUCUGGGAACCAAGCCUGGCCUUGCCAAAGGGGCGUCAGCAACACCAGCAAUGUCCGUUGACGACGUACUUGAAGGAUUAUGGAGAUCAUAGUGAACGAUGGAAAUGCAUAGGCUCCCUGUGCCGGCCAGUCCUGAAGAAAAGCAUCCACUGCCGCGCACAUCGGAUCCGGGAGCCAGCUGAAGUAAUUUGAAAUCUGGAAGUUUGUCCUGGAAGCGAACAGAUCCACCGAGAACGGGCCCCUCCGUCGUGCCACUUCGAGAAAUAUUGGUCAAUGAAGACGCCAAUCACUGGCAUCCCUCCAGUGCCUGGAAAACCAGUCUGCCGUCAGGUUCGAAACACCUGGAAGAUAUUCCGCUUGUAGAGUGAUAUUGCGCUGAAGUCAGAAAUUGUAAAUCUCCUUUGCCACUUCCGUCAGUGCCCGUGAGCGUGCUUCUCCCAGGCGGUUGAUAUACUGCACUGCUGACACGUUGUCCAUUCUCAGCAGGAUGCAGCAAUCCGACAGAUGACCCGCCAGGCUCCGUAUCGCGAAUGAGCCCGCAAUCAUUUCUAGACAAUUGAUAUGGUAACCUGUUUCCGUGCUCGACCAAGGGCCUCCCGUGGAGGCAGUCGCGCAGGUCGCUGCCCAGCCCCAUAGGCUUGCAUCCGAUUCCAGGACAAAGUACGGGGUCGGACCGAAAAUCGCCUUGCCGUUCCAGGCUGACAUAUGUAACAGCCACCAACGAAGUUCUGUCUUGACUUCCUGUGUGAUGGUGAUCAGCUGAUCGUAUGAGGGUUUCCUGUGGAGGAAACGUGCCUUGAGGUGUUGCAUGGCCCUGUAGUGAAGGGGGGCCUGGGUAAAUGGCCUUGAUCGAAGUGGACAACAGGCCUACCACCCGUGCCAGGACCCUGAGUGGGAUCGUCUCCUGACGGAGAAUCCGUCGGAUCUCUUUCCGAAUUGCUGAGAUUUUUGCUUGAGGGAGACGUCUAUCUCGAACCCCAAAAAUUGAACUACCUGCAUCGGUGUGAGGGCCGACUUCUCUCGGUUGACCACAAACCCCAGGGAUUCGAACAAGGAGAUCGCGAAGUGAUCUAAGAUUUCAGUCUGGAGGAGUCCUCGCAGAAGAGAAGCAGAUCGUCCAGGUAAAUCAAGCACCGAAUGCCCCUGGAGCGUAGGCAUUCUGUUAUUGGUUUCAGCAGUUUGGUGAAACACCAAGGUGCCGAGCUGAGGCCGAAGGGUAGGCAUGUGAAUUGGCAUGGCCUCCCUUUCCAGAUGAAAUGCAAGAAUCAUCGGCAAUCGGGUUUCACCGGUAUGGAGAGGUAUGCGUCCUUCAGGUCUAGACGAGUGAACCAAUCUCCUGGGUGAAGUAAGUCUCUUAAAAGAUGGAUGCCCUCCAUCUUGAAGUGUUGGUAGGAAACAAAGGCGUUUAGGUUCCUCAGAUUUGUGACCGGUCGGAAAUCUCCUGUCUUUUUCCUGACUAGGAAAAUCGAGCAGAAGAAGCCACCGGUGCCCACUGCACUGCCCCUUUGUCGAACAGGGCCUGUAUUUCGGUGUCUAUCAGGAUUUGCAGUGCCUUUGAUGAAACUGGAGCCGAGGGAACCACCUCCUGAAUCGGGGGUGAAUGGAAGUCUAUAACGUAACCUCGGACGGUUUGGAGUAUCCAAGCAUCCGAAGAGAUGUCCCGCCACCUGUCGAGACAAAAACGUAACCUGACGGCAUGCAACAGACUGGGGGAAACAUGAGGUGUAACUUGUCUCAUCUGCAGGCAUUCUGCCUCUACCGCGUGUCCGGUUCCCUCUGCCACGGUACGACCUCUGUGAAUUGAAGAAUCCAGAGUGGUAGCUGGGGAAGAAGGAUGGUGGACGGGAUCCUCGGUGGCUUGAUGGCCAGAAACGGCUGGAGGCACGACCCCGCUGCCUUCCAGCCCUGCCAAAAACACGAGAGAUGUUAGUGCGGAACACCCUCCUCAUCGAAGAUUGGGCUUUAUUCAGGGUGGUAUAGAGGUUGACGUGCCUUUGGAGCUCCUUGAUGAGUAGCCCUUUGGCUAUCGGUCCCAGCUCCUUGGAACCCAACUCCGAUAAUUUGGCGUCCAUGCGCAUAAGGACCGCCCUCCUCCGCUCCAUGCACAAAGCUACGUUAGAAUUGCCCAGCAGGCAAACGGAGCAUAGCGCCCAAUCUCUUACGGCUGCAGCGUCCGGGGUGAGCACUGGGAAACAGCCUCAUCCGCUAAGGAUCCGUGAUAGCGGUCCUAAGCUGUCAAGCACCUUAUCUUGUGCCAGGCGGAGAUUGCGCUCGACCCCCAUUCUUGGGGUCGAGCCCGGUACGGGUCAAAUAGGUGGAGACCAUCGAGUCGAACUCGGGCGGCAGAGCAACCUUAUCCGGCAGUGUGGGUCUAGGGCACUCAGCCCUGAGCCUCUUCCGCACUGCCCAAUCAAGGGGUCUGCGAACCCAAUAAUGCACGAACUGGGCCAGGUGGUCAGGUAGGGACCACUCAGGAGACCUGGGGUGCCGGAUGGUGCGUGGGUCAAAGGCUCGCCUGAUGAGUCCAGGAAUACGUCCUCCUCCAAGGAGGGGUGUAGAUGUAGUGAGGUAUCUUCAUCAGCGUCCUGCCGGUACACCGAUUCCUCCGGAUCCUCCUCGCCCCAACCCCCUUCGUCCUCUGAGGGGGAUUGAUCUGCCCGCCAUUCGUCCAGGAUGGACAGGAGUGUGGGCAGGGUGAACUCUUCCUCCUCUUCAGGGAGGUAUCGUGGGUGUGUAGGAGGCGAGGCGGUCGCCCGCUUAGGCCGUUUUGCAGUGGCCUUACCCUUCCGGAAACUCUGCUCCGGGCCUUCACCCUUCCAGUAGCGUUUGGGGUGGCGUGCCUGUUCUCUGUCCGGAGAUCCGGGCUAUCAGCGCGCGCUGAGCCUCCGAAACAUCCCUGUCCUGGGACGGUCUAGGCAGUGCGCGCGAAAGCGCUUUCUCCACUGAAGCGGCAAUAGCCGCGUUAAUCAUACCCUGUAGGCUCUCUUGGAUAGGAGUGUCCAUCUUUACCUCAGUGUGAUCCUGGGGGUAGAAAUGACACGUGUCACCCGGAUAUACAGGAGUAAUGUAGACUGACACCAGUGUUAUGACCACAGUAGAAAAACCCCUGCAUAAUAUCUUAGGCCAGCAGCCGUAGGGGUCUAGGCGCCAAAUAUAUAUGGGCACAGACAGAGCAGGCCAAUCUUAUGGGCGCAGACAAAGCAGGCCAGACACUCUGAGCGUAUAAAUGUCAUUAGAUGGAGGGUAUCAGGAGAAGCAAAUGUAAAAUGUAAAUGCAGGCAUAAAAUACAGUGAAAAGGCCCCCCUCCACAACUGUAACCCAGUAUGACAUCUGAAACUGGGGUACCAGAUACAUAAACCCUAGCCAGGGUACAGGUAGUGGAACAGAAACUGAGAUAUUAAAAAGGAGGAAGGGGAGGCUGAGGUUAAACCUCUAGCCCUCUAAGUGAGAUGCAUUCCUGCAGGAGGAGAGAGGGGGGGUUCCCAGACCACUGUGUAAACGGCUGGGGAAACCCCCUGAAGAGUGCCGAACAGGGAAUGCACUAAAACGGGUGGGGGAGGGAGCAAAUGCAUUAUAAAAAAACAAAACUGCAGGUGGAAUGUUAAACCUACUAGAGAAUGCAUUUUUAAAAUCGAGCAAUCCUAUGGAUGUUCUCACAUGCACUUAUUCUUUUUCAGAGGCAUCUGGAAUCCUGGCUGUCCCACUUGUUUUCAGAGAGCUGUACUGUACAACACUUUGUUCCCCAAUUAACUACCCUUUAUCUUUUUCCAGUCUAAGGCAAAGUGUUCAUCUUUGCACCACUUAUGGACAUUAAGAUUAUAUUCACAGGUUUAUUAACCAGCAAAUUGACUUUGUAGUUCAAAUAAUGUUAUGCUGUUCUGUAUUAAUUUGUGAAAAAGGUGUGCUGGAAAUAGUUCCUCCCAAGUGUUGUGCAUUAACAUCACUCUUUUGCCAUAGGUUACAAAAUAUAUAGACUGGACAAAUGAGUUUGUCAUGUCAUAUCACCUGACAGAAACCCUUCCUCAAUGACUUUGAGCGUGGUUACUCCUACACUACUCCAUUGUGUUAUCUAUUAACCCCAUGAGUGCCAUUUUAUGUAGGGAGGCAUGUUGUAAAAGGCCAGAUGAUACAGCAAUAUUUUUUUUUCAUGGCUUCUUUCCUUUUAACUCCUCUCUCACUCGAUCCUUUAAACAUUUUUCCCUUUUUAAUUUUUACUCCUUUCUUCCUUCCUUAUUAAUGUAUAGAAAUGCAUUUUGUUAUCUUUUACUUACAUUUGGUAGUGCAUCAGUUGUGCAGUAUAUAUGCUAUGUUCCUCAACCAGCAAAAUGUAGGCCACAAAAGCUUUAGUGCUAGAAGUUAGCCAUCACUGCCUUAGCCUAAUCAAUGGGUAUCUGUUAUUAACAAGGGUUUAACUAUUGCUUUUUUUUAUGUGAAAGGAAAUUGUUACUCUUGUAUGUACCAGGAUCAGUGUACUACAAUGGAAUGUCAGUCAUGACCUAGCAUUCCAUUGCUGCUGUAAGCCAAAGCACCAUUGCUCUCAGGUUUCACAAUCCUUCUGGAAAGUAUUGUCAUUUUUUCCGACAACAUUUCAAAGAUGCUGAAGUCACAAACUUAGUAGUUUUAAUCUUCUUUAAAGUGUGCCAGGCAUGCAAAAAGUUACAUGAUGAUGGAAAUUUACAGGUUUCAAAUGUAUACUUUCAUGCCAUCUGCAUUAUGGUAUAACUACAGCUAGACUAGUCGCAAGCUUUUUCAUGUUUAAUGCCACAUUGUCUUAAUUCAUUGUUUAAUUUUAUUUUCGGUUAAUGACUGUAGUCUACAGUAUGAUGGAUUGCUGCCUACUUACUCUACUUGUCUUGUAAUACAUAAGACAUCCAUAGUAGGUGUCCUUUCCAUGUUUAAGUCACAGUCAGUAACAGUAAUCUUCAUUCUGACAUCCUGAAUCUCCUCUCUAGUCUGCCUACUUCCCGUACUUGUCAUGUGAUCUAGGUUGGAGCGGAAGUCUGUUGUCUCCUCCCCAGUCUGACACUGAUAAAUAUAGGCGCACUAGUCUUCAAUAUGUUUAUCCUCCACUUGCACCCUGUCAUUCUUUUGGCACCUUAAGCCAUUUUUGAGCUUUGCUUGUAAUAUCUCCAGGUCACAUUUUGGCAUGAUCACCACUUUAUCUUAUUGAUGAAUUUGCAGGAUAAAGAGGUGUGACUUUCUAAAUUUUUCCCUUUAUUUUUCCUGCCUCACAAAUACAUUAUUUUUUUUUAAAUAUAGGAAAAGUAUAUUAUAUAUUUUCCCAUGCUGUGUAAAAUGACUCAGAACACUCUGGUUGGAUUCCAAGCCAACCAAUAAGAGUGCUCUGGUAGGUAAAUAGCUUGCCCUACAGGUACCCAAUCAAGUAAGGCUCACUAUUUACCUAUCAGAGCGCCCUUAUUGGUUAGAUUAAACCAACCAAUCAGAGCACUCUGAGUCAAAUUGCAGAGUGUGGGAAGUCUUUUAAAAGCCUUUCCCUGCCAUGCGGAGCUCAGUCUGCGCGGUCCCCUCGCUGGGUGAAGAUGGAGUCAUUUUUUUUUUAAUUCUUUAUUUUAUUGAGCAUAAAAUGUUACAGAACAUAGGUGUUGUUUGCCACCCGUGUAUAACAAUUAACAAUUCAAGGUAUGCAGGCAACAGAGUCUGCGCAUUUUUACAUUUUUCAGUUGUACAUCAAAGUUAGGGUAACAGUAAUUAGUUCGAAAGAAUCUUGUCAUGAGGCGGACAACAUAGUUUGGUCUAGUGACUUCGAUUCAACUUUAAGCGUGAUAUAGUUUGUAGUGUAUAGUAGGGGGGAAACAACGGGGGGGAGGGUAGGGACGGCGUAGGUAUUAGGGUGGUCGUGUAGAGGUAUUUUGACGAUAAUUAGGUGGCUCUAUUGCCUAGAUAGGUCAACCAGGGCUGCCAUGUUAGGGUGUAGGUGGUGUAUUUGUUCGAGUAUGAUGCGUCUAGUUCUUCCAUGGUCCUUAUGAAUUCUACCUUUUGUAUCCACUCCCGUACUGAUGGGGCACUGGUGCUCUUUCAUUUUAACGGUAACAUAUUUGCUGCUGUCAGCAUAUGGUUGACUAGUUUGCGUUGGAGGUUUCGUAUGUGCGUUGUGUGUACGAGGAAGAGAAAGGUUAUGGGUGAUUGUGGUAGUUGGUGGCCUGUGAUGGCUUUGAUUAACCCUCCCAGCCUCUGCCAAUAGGUUUGGAUGGCCGGACAAAGCCACCAGAUAUGAGCUGUAGUUCCCUUGGGUCGCCCGCACCUCCAACAUGUAUCUGGCGCUGUUGGGGAGUGAUUUUUUUUAGCGUCAGGAUUUUUUACAUUUUUUUUUUUUUUAAAAAGGUUUUAGAAAAAAUACAUCUAAUGGUAAGUAUAAUUAAAAAAAUAUAUAUUUUUUGCAAGUAUUUAGAUUUAUUACUUCCCCUCUCACUAUUUUUAGGGUGAGGGGGUAGGUAGUAAUUUAUUUAAAGGGGGAUGACCCCUAGUCACCUUGUGAGGGGCAGGGUUUUUUUUACGUAGCCCCCACCCGUCGCCCAUGGGUGGGGGCCGGGUGAGAACAAAAGGUCGCCCCCCAUUGUAAUUUUGGGCAAUAGGUGUCCCCUCCUGUUUCAUAUUAGGCCCUUACCCACUGCUCAUGGGUUGGGGCUGGGGGGGGAAGGGACAAUAGGUGUCCUCCUGACCCCCCUCCAUUUCAUCUUAGCCCACAACCGCCGCACAUGGAUGGGGGCCGGGGGGACAAUAGGUAUCAUCUUGGGGCCCCCACCCGCUGCUCAUUGGUGAGGGCCGGUCGGAGGACCUAUGUCCUCCCCAUUGUCACUAUUUAGAUUGUUCAAACUAGUGCCUAUUGUCCCGUCUCUCCUUGACCCCCACCCAUGAGCGGGGGGGGUGGGGGUGUAAUAGUCGCCCGUUUGAACAAUCUAAAUAUGGAGGACUUUACAGCAGUGAGCCGAUCUCUGAUUUAGCUCACUGCUCGUAAACGUGCAAGUGGAGCGCAUGUGCAAUAGAGCGUUCAGUUUCUCAUAGGGAAUCAUUGAAUACAAUGAUUCCCUGUGAGUGUAAUUUGAUUGGCGCAUAGCGGCAAAUGCUGCACGUGCGGUCCGUAAUACUUCUCUAUGAGAAGCUAGUGGUUGGACCCGAACGAUAAGUAACUGAUGACACGAAAGGGGGCGGGGCGUAAUGCUGUGAGGUCAACUAAACAACUUUGAGAAAACCAGGUAAAUACUUAUUUUAAUAUUUUUUUAAAUAUUACUAAUUCAAUUAUUGUAAUGGUGUUUGGUGAUAUACAGUAUGUAAAUAUAUAUAAUAAACUGGAUAGAACAGUGUUCCUUUAAGCAUUAAAACAAUAAAAUCUGUUAAAAUGCUGUUUGAAAAGAGGCACCGGGAGACUCAAGAUAAAAUAACUAGGUUCAUGGGAUGAAGCAGAUACAGUGUCUACAGUGUCCCUUUUAAUGCUCUCUUCUUUGCUUAGGUUAAAACACAUAACCCAAUAACAGUGUAAACAAUUAAAAGCCAAACUUUUAGCUUUCAAAGCAAACCUGCUAUUGAAAUAAAUGUUUGCUUUGAUAAUUCUAGAAGGCAGCUGAGGGCAGAUCAUUUGUUUGUAUUGCAGUGAGCCAACUGGAUAAGUUUUGGGUCAUAGGAAGAAUUUGUACAUUAGCAACUCUCAGUGCCUAGCAAUGCUUAAAAUAUUUCUGCAUUUGAAACUACGGGGUGCGCAUUAAUGAUGCACAAUUACUACACAAUUACAAUGUCAAUGACUGAGUUGGCAGACCAUGCAGCAGUUAGCAUGUGUAGCAAAUAAUAUACACAAAUGUGUUUUACGGUUACAGCUGAAGCAGUAAAGAUUUUAUCGGAUCUCUUGAAAUGUGUAGGGUAUUUUUAUUUUUUUUAAAACCUGUUAUGAAUUGCAAUUACACUUAUGAAAUGAAUCAAUUUUUAUCUGUUCCUUUGACCCAUUGCCUAUUAUAGAUGAACUGGAUGUGUUGCUUUCUACACAUUUGACUAUAAAUCUUAAUUCACGCAUGAAUCAGACUGUUACUUUCAUCCUACAUGAUAUCAAGGCCUCGAAAGAUCAACUGUAAAAGGAAUAAGGGCCAUUCCAUGGUUUGAGAACGCCUCACCUAAGUUAAUGAUUUGAAUGAUGCUUAAUUGAUAUAUAUUUGCUUGACUUGUUUUGAAGUCCGCUUUGUAUAGGCAAACUCAUAGCAAUUUGUUAUUUUUGACCUAAUUUAAUGCUUAUAUAAUUAUGGGCAACUAUUAUAAAUAUCCUCCCCCCCCCCGCCCCAAAUAAACAAAUUGGUGUGCUACAAUGGCAAGUUUCCUGUUGCACUCUGUUCUUGCCACAAUAUUAUAUUCCUCCUGAAACCAGCACAGACAGAUGAAGCCAAUUUUGAGAAGUAUAUUAUCAAAUGAUUAAGGAACACUAACUAUAAAUUUAGGAAUACAAACCUGUGCCAUAAAAAAACAAAAACACUUUUACAUUGCUGAGUUAAAAGGACAUGGCCAAUGCGCCCAGACAACGCCUUUAAGACUAAGUGGUCUGUGUGACUAUAGUGUCCCUUUAACAUAUUCUACAUUUAACUUUCCCUUAUUAUCUAAGAAAUCUUGUUCUUAUUAGGCUGUUAAAAUAGGUUUACCCUAAUGGCAAUGGAACUGGCAGACGUGAGGUACAUGAGAGAGAUCAGCUGGGAUAAUUUCCACAUGUCUACCUGACCUACCUAAUAUUAUGAAAGCAGAGCCAUCAGUUUAAAGUGCAACCUCUUACAGCUCCAUAUUAAAAGUAUCCGCAUUCAAUCAUUGUAAUCACUGAUUUAGGAAGUAUGCACUCACUAAAUCCUAAUGCAAAGUUCCCACCCACCUUUAUCCAUGCAUACCCCUAAUAGUAACCGUUUCUAAGUAUUCUCAAACAUUAGCCUCAUAUCCCCAGCUAUACUUUU
rnacentral:lncRNA from 1 species